CGGAACUUCCGCCGCCGUAGCCGCCGCCGCGCCCGCCUCCGUAGCCGCCGCCGCCGGAACUAUCAGGAGGAAGGGUCCCGUUCGGUUAACUCUAACUUUUUGAAAAAGGGCUGCGGUAGGUUUGAAUUUCAUUCUCCAGUCGGAUCUUAAUGUCCAGGAGUUGUUGGUACUCAGCAUUCUGGCACUCGGUUUCAGCUCGAAUCUGUUGGAGUUGUUCCUCCAGAGAGGAGAUCUGGGCCUGAAUCUGUGAGAGCUGCACACAAUAGCGACCUUCUGUUUCUGCCAACGAGGAUUCCAGGGAUUGUUUCUGAAAAAGGAGAGAAGGAUUAAUGUUCUUGAAAAAGUAUUGUCAUGACUUCAUCAACGUACUCAAGCACCUAUGAUGGAUUUCUCUUGUGGUUGGAUUAAGUCUUCUCAACAGCCUUGCCUGACUCUGUCCAACUUAAUGCUCCCUGCGUUUACUGCUCAGUUGGAAAGAAGUGAGAAAAUUGUGAGGUGAGACUUUUCUCCCAGCAAUGAACCUCAGUGACCCUGCAUCCCAGGGAACAGUUUCCCCUUUUGGAUGGCUGCCCUGGCUAUAAACAGUAGUAGCCCCUCUCCAGGUGGAGUUUCUGAUGGAAUCCUAAAAGCAGUUGAAAAUUAAAAAAUCCGGAAAGAAGGCCUCCAUCAUUGCCAGAGAGAAUACCUCCAAAGCCACCUCCUGCGCUUCCCCCAAAUCCAAUUCCCAGGCCACCAAAGCCACCUCCCAGACCUCCAAAGCCACCUCCCAGACCUCCAGAGCCA